UGGGGAAUAUUGGACAAUGGGCGCAAGCCUGAUCCAGCCAUGCCGCGUGUGUGAAGAAGGCCUUUUGGUUGUAAAGCACUUUAAGCGAGGAGGAGGCUACUUGGAUUAAUACUCUAAGAUAGUGGACGUUACUCGCAGAAUAAGCACCGGCUAACUCUGUGCCAGCAGCCGCGGUAAUACAGAGGGUGCGAGCGUUAAUCGGAUUUACUGGGCGUAAAGCGUGCGUAGGCGGCUUCUUAAGUCGGAUGUGAAAUCCCUGAGCUUAACUUAGGAAUUGCAUUCGAUACUGGGAAGCUAGAGUUUGGGAGAGGAUGGUAGAAUUCCAGGUGUAGCGGUGAAAUGCGUAGAGAUCUGGAGGAAUACCGAUGGCGAAGGCAGCCAUCUGGCCUAAUACUGACGCUGAGGUACGAAAGCAUGGGGAGCAAACAGG
rnacentral:rRNA from 1 species